GCGUGUGACUGAGCAGUUUGUUGUGUGAAUGCUGAUGCUCACUUACGUAACAAGAGAGUAGGAGUCUUCCACCUGCGUGUGCCGUGACUCAUUUCAUUCAGGGCCGGGAGGGAGGGGACAGGAGGCAAGGACAGUAGCAAAGGAGACGAGAUGAAAGACCAGUGAUUGUUCUGAUCACAGACUCACGGACAAAGGAAGCACACACACUCACACACUCUGUCCUCCGCUGUUCCUCGUCUCAGACAGGCUGUUCUCUUUGGGACCCUCUACGGCUGAGCACCCCCGGUCAUGUGACACGGUGGAGACGAACCAGAGGAGGAACGGGCCAUGGGAGAAGGAGCAGCGGUGCAUUGUGGGUAGGGAACUCAAACCAUUAGGUGAUGAGUGUAUCAGAUGGCUCAGAGGGAGCGUUACAUUUCAGAACUGGGUGAAAGUUCAUGGCUAUAAAAGUGCACACACAUGCACGCACGCACACACACACACACACACACACAAGUGUGUACACACACAGGGCAGACUAUUUGUUUGUCUUUAGGAGUAAGAGAGAGUGUGUGUGUGUGUGUGUGUGUGUG
ensembl:lncRNA